rnacentral:rRNA from 1 species
AAACCAGCACCUCAAGUGGUCAGGAUGAUUAUUGGGCCUAAAGCAUCCGUAGCCUGCUCUGUAAGUUUUCGGUUAAAUCUGCACGCUCAACGUACAGGCUGCCGGGAAUACUGCAGAACUAGGGAGUGGGAGAGGUAGACGGUACUCGGGAGGAAGUGGUAAAAUGCUUUGAUCUCUCGAUGACCACCUGUGGCGAAGGCGGUCUACCAGAACACGUCCGACGGUGAGGGAUGAAAGCUGGGGGAGCAAACCGGAUUAGAAACCCGGGUAGUCC